rnacentral:rRNA from 1 species
AGGCCUAACAUGCAAGUCGAACGGCAGCACGGGAGCUUGCUCCCGGUGGCGAGUGGCGAACGGGUGAGUAAUGUAUCGGAACGUACCCCGUCGUGGGGGAUAACUCUCCGAAAGGAGAGCUAAUACCGCAUACGACCCGAGGGUGAAAGCGGGGGACCUGGGGUAACCUGGGCUUCGCGCGAUGGGAGCGGCCGAUAUCGGAUUAGCUAGUUGGUGGGGUAAGGGCCUACCAAGGCGACGAUCCGUAGCGGGUCUGAGAGGACGACCCGCCACACUGGAACUGAGACACGGUCCAGACUCCUACGGGAGGCAGCAGUGGGGAAUUUUGGACAAUGGGCGCAAGCCUGAUCCAGCCAUUCCGCGUGAGUGAAGAAGGCCUUCGGGUUGUAAAGCUCUUUCAGCAGGAACGAAACGGUGGGUCUUAAUACGGCCUGCUAAUGACGGUACCUGCAGAAGAAGCACCGGCUAACUACGUGCCAGCAGCCGCGGUAAUACGUAGGGUGCGAGCGUUAAUCGGAAUUACUGGGCGUAAAGCGUGCGCAGGCGGCGACAUAAGACAGAUGUGAAAUCCCCGGGCUCAACCUGGGAACGGCGUUUGUGACUGUGUGGCUAGAGUGUAGCAGAGGGGGGUGGAAUUCCACGUGUAGCAGUGAAAUGCGUAGAGAUGUGGAGGAACACCGAUGGCGAAGGCAGCCCCCUGGGUUAACACUGACGCUCAUGCACGAAAGCGUGGGGAGCAAACAGGAUUAGAUACCCUGGUAGUCCACGCCCUAAACGAUGCCAACUAGGUGUUGGGGGGAGGAGACUUCCUUAGUACCGUAGCUAACGCGUGAAGUUGGCCGCCUGGGGAGUACGGUCGCAAGAUUAAAACUCAAAGGAAUUGACGGGGACCCGCACAAGCGGUGGAUGAUGUGGAUUAAUUCGAUGCAACGCGAAAAACCUUACCUACCCUUGACAUGUCCGGAAUCCCGAAGAGAUUUGGGAGUGCUCGAAAGAGAGCCGGAACACAGGUGCUGCAUGGCUGUCGUCAGCUCGUGUCGUGAGAUGUUGGGUUAAGUCCCGCAACGAGCGCAACCCUUAUCAUUAGUUGCCAUCAUUGAGUUGGGCACUCUAAUGAGACUGCCGGUGACAAACCGGAGGAAGGUGGGGAUGACGUCAAGUCCUCAUGGCCCUUAUGGGUAGGGCUUCACACGUCAUACAAUGGUCGGUACAGAGGGUUGCCAACCCGCGAGGGGGAGCUAAUCUCACAAAGCCGAUCGUAGUCCGGAUCGCAGUCUGCAACUCGACUGCGUGAAGUCGGAAUCGCUAGUAAUCGUGGAUCAGCAUGUCACGGUGAAUACGUUCCCGGGCCUUGUACACACCGCCC